UUCUUUUUAGGUGGUUCAAAUGGAAGGCGAAAUCCUCCUUAAUGGGAUCUGAAGGGAGCAUCCUGAAUUAGAAGCCUUGCGCAUUGGGAGCCAUAGACUUCAAGGGUUCCCCCUCUCCACUUAUCCAACACAAAAGGGCAGGAAGGAAUCCUACAACCAGGAAGAAUGUAGACAAACGCCCACACUGGGAUCAAAGACAGCCAGAGAACCAGUAAGAUUGUGUCAGGUUCCAAGUGCCCACAUGGGAGGAAGAGACUUUAGUCCUAAUAAAAGCAGCCAGGGAUAAGAGUUUAUGGUUACUUACCUUUCUGAUGCCCCCUACUCUUCUGGAGUUGUUUUCUAUCUUAUCCUUUCCCCACU
rnacentral:lncRNA from 1 species